CAGUAGCCGCGGGAAUACGGAGGGUGCAAGCGUUAUCCGGAUUUAUUGGGUUUAAAGGGUCCGUAGGCGGAUCUGUAAGUCAGUGGUGAAAUCUCACAGCUUAACUGUGAAACUGCCAUUGAUACUGCAGGUCUUGAGUAAAUUUGAAGUGGCUGGAAUAAGUAGUGUAGCGGUGAAAUGCAUAGAUAUUACUUAGAACACCAAUUGCGAAGGCAGGUCACUAAGAUUUAACUGACGCUGAUGGACGAAAGCGUGGGGAGCAAACAGUAUUAGAUACCCCAGUAGUCCCUGUCUCUUAUAU
rnacentral:rRNA from 1 species